UACGUAUGGUGCAAGCGUUAUCCGGAUUUACUGGGUGUAAAGGGAGCGUAGACGGAUAGGCAAGUCUGGAGUGAAAGCCCGGGGCUCAACCCCGGGACUGCUUUGGAAACUGUUUAUCUAGAGUGCUGGAGAGGUAAGUGGAAUUCCUAGUGUAGCGGUGAAAUGCGUAGAUAUUAGGAGGAACACCAGUGGCGAAGGCGGCUUACUGGACAGUAAAUGACGUUGAGGCUCGAAAGCGUGGGGAGCAAACAGG
rnacentral:rRNA from 1 species